rnacentral:lncRNA from 1 species
AACACAUAUAAGUAUAGCUAAGAAAAACAUAAUUCAUUAAAUUCAUAAUUAAAAAGAAAUUUCCUAAAUAUAAUAAAAUCUCUAUUAUUCCAAUUCAGAAGUUAACAAUUAAUGGGAAUACUCUAGCAGUAUUACCAAUGAAGUCUGCAAGAAUACAGGUUAUGCUGCAAUACCGAGCAUCUUCAGUUGUGUUUCACGUUAAACUGGAGACAUUAUUUAACCCAGCUGGGAUGUGUAUGUUUAUCUCAUAGGAAUUUGGAGGACUACAUGCAGAAGUUAUCAUAUUACAACUAAAA